GAUGAACGUUGGCGGUGUGCCUAAUACAUGCAAGUCGAACGGAGUUAGUAGCAAUACUGGCUCAGUGGCGAACGGGUGAGUAACGCGUUGGUGAUCUGCCUUGAAGUGUGGAAUAACGUUUCGAAAGGAACGCUAAUACCGCAUGUGCUCUCGAUUUUCAGAAAGUUGAGAGUAAAGGAUUUAUUCGCUUCAAGAGGAGCCUGCGUCCCAUCAGCUGGUUGGUAGGGUAACGGCCUACCAAGGCUAUGACGGGUAGGGGACCUGAGAGGGUGGCCCCCCACAAUGGAACUGAAACACGGUCCAUACACCUACGGGUGGCAGCAGUAGGGAAUAUUAGAAAUGGACGAAAGUCUGAUCUAGCAACACCGCGUGUGCGAAGAAGGCCUUGGGUCGUAAAGCA
rnacentral:rRNA from 1 species